GACGAACGCUGGCGGCGUGCCUAAUACAUGCAAGUCGAGCGGACUGAUUAAGAGCUUGCUCUUAUGACGUUAGCGGCGGACGGGUGAGUAACACGUGGGCAACCUGCCCUGUAGAUCGGGAUAACACCGAGAAAUCGGUGCUAAUACCGGGUAAUAUCUGAGAUCACAUGAUCUUAGGUUAAAAGAUGGCUCCGGCUAUCACUACAGGAUGGGCCCGCGGCGCAUUAGCUAGUUGGUAAGGUAAUGGCUUACCAAGGCGACGAUGCGUAGCCGACCUGAGAGGGUGAACGGCCACACUGGGACUGAGACACGGCCCAGAAUCCUACGGGAGGCAGCAGUAGGGAAUCUUCCGCAAUGGACGAAAGUCUGACGGAGCAACGCCGCGUGAGUGAUGAAGGGUUUCGGCUCGUAAAGCUCUGUUGUUAGGGAAGAAACAGUACCGAACGAACUAGGUCGGUACCUUGACGGUACCUAACCAGAAAGCCACGGCUAACUACGUG
rnacentral:rRNA from 1 species